CACGGCGGCGCAGGGCACCGACGACAAGGACUACAAGGAGCCCCCGCCGGCGCCGCUCUUCGAGCCCGGUGAGCUCAAGUCGUGGUCCUUCUACCGCGCGGGCAUCGCCGAGUUCGUCGCCACCUUCCUCUUCCUCUACAUCUCCAUCCUCACCGUCAUGGGCGUCUCCAAGUCCACCUCAAAGUGCGCCACCGUCGGCAUCCAGGGCAUCGCCUGGUCCUUUGGCGGCAUGAUCUUCGCCCUCGUCUACUGCACCGCCGGCAUCUCCGGUACCGUACACCACCUUCGUCCUCUGUUUCUUUUCUUCUAGUUUCCUCCUUCCUCUGCUUGCCUUGCCUGCCUCGUCGUGUGUGCGUGCUAGCUGCUGAGAUGUUUGUUUUUCCUCUCUCUCCCCCCUCUCGCAACUGUGCAGGCGGGCACAUCAACCCGGCGGUGACCUUCGGGCUGUUCCUGGCGAGGAAGCUGUCGCUCACCAGGGCGGUCUUCUACAUCAUCAUGCAGUGCCUGGGCGCCAUCUGCGGCGCGGGCGUCGUCAAGGGGUUCCAGCAGGGGCUGUACAUGGGCAACGGCGGCGGCGCCAACGUCGUCGCGCCAGGCUACACCAAGGGCGACGGCCUCGGCGCUGAGAUCGUCGGCACCUUCGUCCUCGUCUACACCGUCUUCUCCGCCACCGACGCCAAGAGGAACGCCAGGGACUCCCAUGUGCCGGUGAGUGUUCGGAGCUCCAGUAUCAACCUUGACUGCUUACUUGUCCGUGCCUCUCCUCUCCUCCGUGGAAGCUUGACUGACAUGGUUAUCGAUGGUUUCUUUGUGGGAUGAAUGAACAGAUCCUUGCUCCGCUCCCAAUCGGGUUCGCGGUGUUCCUGGUCCACCUGGCCACCAUCCCCAUCACCGGCACCGGCAUCAACCCGGCGCGGAGCCUUGGCGCCGCCGUCGUUUACAACCAGAACCAUGCCUGGUCUGACCACGUGAGUGAAAACAAGCCUCUUCUCCCUUCAUGCUGUUAUAAUAAGUUGUUCCACUGCCUUAGCAGAAUUGUUUAGCUUAUUGGUGGAAGUAGCAUGACGAGUCUAAUCUGAUCGAUCGGAUGAAAUCAUCCGAAACUAAAUAGUGAAAUGGAGUCUGGUUAGGUGUUACAAAAUUGGGGAGUGGCUACAACAUUCAACUGCCACAAAGUAGUAGAAAGCAUUGAUCAGUAGCAGCUUUCUGAAGGUCCAAGCAUGAUAUGAUAGGAUAUAAUAUCAUAAGCAUUUGUUGGUUAAUUUGAUUAGAUUAUGGAAACCUGCCCUUAUCCGAAGGGUGAUGCUGCUUUAAUGUAGCAGCCAUUCAGCCAACCACUACCUUCUAGGACAACGACCUGCAUUAGCGCAUUUUAUAGUACAUG
rnacentral:lncRNA from 1 species